CCUUGGAAUUUGAGGAGAUUAAGAUUGGGAUUGGAUUUACAGAUGUCGAGGAACGACGAGGACUUGAUAUCUGUCGGCGAGAGCAAAUUCAGAGCCAUGGUGUGUCACUCUACUGCCAGUUAAAGAAUCUUACACUGAGUAUUGAAAUUUGAAAAUGGAAGGUUUGUGUUAAUUCAAGAAUAUAAAAUCUUUACAAGUGCAGGAGACGAGACUAAACUUCCGGAGAGAUUUUGGAUGGAUAACAGAUAGUGACGAACUUCAGGGAGAGAGAGAGAGAGAGAUAUAGGAAGAGACAGACAGAGUGAGUUGUCAGAUGUAAGUACUGUGGAUUACUUUGUGUCUCACGAGGAGCAACCUACGAGAAGUUAAAAUCAAGAAAAUAAUGGAUAUAAAUCAAUUUUUCAUCAUUGAUUUAUUUUAUUCUUCGUUGACUUUCUAAUUCGC
rnacentral:lncRNA from 1 species